rnacentral:rRNA from 1 species
GAACGGGUGCGUAACACGUGAGGGACUGCCUGGAAAUGGGGGAUAGCCGGCCAACGGCCGGGUAAUACCGCAUGCGCCUCAUCGAGGGGCAUUCCUUGGUGAGGAAACUUUCGAGGUUUUCAGCGGGACUCGCGGCCUAUCAGCUAGUUGGCGGGGUAACGGCCCACCAAGGCGACGACGGGUAGCUGGUCUGAGAGGAUGGCCAGCCACAUUGGGAACUGAGAGACGGGCCAGACUCCUACGGGAGGGCAGCAGUGGGGGAAAUCUUGCGCAAUUGGCCGAAAGGCUUGAACGCAAGCGACGCCGCGUUGUGGGAGGAAGCUCCUUCGGGGUGUAAACCACUGUUGCCCGGGACGAAUGAUGAGUUUGGACUCCAUUUGACGGUACCGGGUGAGGAAGCACCCGNGUAACUCUGUGCCAGCCGCCG